rnacentral:rRNA from 1 species
GAUGAACGCUGGCGGCGUGCUUAACACAUGCAAGUCGAACGGUGAAGCAGGAGCUUGCUCCUGUGGAUCAGUGGCGAACGGGUGAGUAACACGUGAGCAAUCUGCCCUGGACUCUGGGAUAAGCGUUGGAAACGACGUCUAAUACCGGAUACGAGGCGUGGGGGCAUCCCCAACGCCUGGAAAGAACUUCGGUCCAGGAUGAGCUCGCGGCCUAUCAGGUAGUUGGUGAGGUAACGGCUCACCAAGCCUACGACGGGUAGCCGGCCUGAGAGGGUGACCGGCCACAGUGGGACUGAGACACGGCCCAGACUCCUACGGGAGGCAGCAGUGGGGAAUAUUGCACAAUGGGCGCAAGCCUGAUGCAGCAACGCCGCGUGAGGGACGACGGCCUUCGGGUUGUAAACCUCUUUUAGCAGGGAAGAAGCGAAAGUGACGGUACCUGCAGAAAAAGCACCGGCUAACUACGUGCCAGCCGCCGCCGUAAAAC